UACAGACGGUGCGAGUGUUGCUCGGAUUUACUGGGCGUAAAGGGUGCGUAGGUGGAUUUGUAAGUAAGAUGUUAAAGGUAUAAGCACAACUUAUAUUUGCAUUUUAUACUGCAGAACUAGAGUAUGAAAGAGGGAGUAGGAAUUUCUAGAGUAACGGUGAAAUGUGUAGAUCCUAGAAGGAACACCAAUGGCGAAGGCAAACUCCUGGGUCAUUACUGACACUGAGGCACGAAAGCGUGGGUAGCAAACAGG
rnacentral:rRNA from 1 species